GACGAACGCUGGCGGCGUGCUUAACACAUGCAAGUCGAACGAAAAGGCCCGGCUCUUGCUGGUUGCUCGAGUGGCGAGCGGGUGUGUGACACAUGAGUAAAAUCCCCUUGUCUUUCUGAGAUCUUCUCGAAACUCGGGCUAAUACCGCGUAGGAGCUCCUGCAGCAUAGGGUGGGUUGGAAAGAUGCGGCGGUUCUGGCUGGACUGGCGGCUUAUGCGCUUCUUUGUCGGGUAGUGGCUUUCCAAGGCUUCGAGGGGUAGGCGGCCUGAGAGGGGGACCGGCCACAUUGGGACUGAGAUACGGCCCAGACUCGUACGGGAGGCAGCAGGCGGGAAUAUUGCACAAUGGGCGGAAGCGUGAGGCAGCAACGCCGCGUGCGGGAUGACGGCCUUCGGGUUGUAAACCGCUUUCGCAUGUAACGAAGCGUGAGUGACGGUAAUGGGUAAAGAAGCACCGGCUAACUACGUG
rnacentral:rRNA from 1 species